UACAGUUUAGUUUAAAAGAAAGAACAGCUUUAUUAUUACAAAUAAAGAUGGUUUUGGUUUGAAUCCAAAAAUUUCUG
rnacentral:tRNA from 1 species